GGAUAAGCAAGUUAGAAGUGAAAUCCUAUAGCUUAACUAUAGUAAGCUUUUAAAACUGCUCAUCUUGAGGUAUGGAAGGGAAAGUGGAAUUCCUAGUGUAGCGGUGAAAUGCGCAGAUAUUAGGAGGAAUACCGGUGGCGAAGGCGACUUUCUGGCCAUAAACUGACGCUGAGGUACGAAAGCGUGGGUAGCAAACAGGAUUAGAU
rnacentral:rRNA from 1 species